rnacentral:tRNA from 1 species
UCCCUGGUGGUACAGUGGUUAGAAUUUGGUGCUUUCACCAUGGUAGCCCAGGUUAAAUUCCUGGUUGGGGAA